GUUCUGUUACUGAGGUUCCACUGUCAAGCAUGGAGGAGACAGUAUGUGGGUUCGCACACAGGUUACUUUGCUGGUGACGGAGCUGCGAUCUGAUUCCAGAUCUCACUGCGCAGAACUGGCAUGGGAUGAACUGGACAGAGGAGUCAUGACGGUGGAGCCCACAGCCCCAGAAGCAGUGAAGCAGUGCUGGUCGCAGCCCGCAUAGUGCCCUUGUGAAACGUCACUGCCCAAUAUGCUCGAGUGCAUAAUGUCGACCCAGCUGCAGUGAAAGCAGUGAGGUUGGGGUCUUUCUAGAGGAGGGCAAGGGGGCGGCAUCAGAAGACGCAUCUUUGGGCGAUUGCCAGGGUCCGCCCCUGCCCAGGGCAAACAUGUCAGCUAACUUCCUGCUACGGUGCCUUAACCAAAUGCUCGUGGGUGAAGCCGUUAUCAAACUAAAUGUCAGCUCUUUCAAGGAAACUAAGAUAUAGAAACCAUUUCCAAUUGCUGAAUUUUCAAGUAUAAAACAUCUACUAUCUUCUAUGGACUAUCUAUUUACAGGUCAGGUUGGGGAGCAUGCACUGAUGCAGCGAGCUGCCACACCCACCACAUGGCGAAACUCGUCGGGAUCCUGGCCAGCGACCCCCCCCCAGGCAGAUACAGUCCCACCCUCCGGAAAUGUCCAUCCAUCUGCUGCAGCCAGGUGUCACGUGGGCGUCCCCUAGGCCUGGUCCAGCCGGAUCGCCCUCAGGGAAACUUACCACAUGGCCGUAGUGCCGUAACUGACGCUCCCUCAUAAUGCAGGUGAUGAGCCUCAUUCAGGACUCUAACAACCGCUCAUUCAACACAAAGUCAAACCCAAGGAUUCCCUGAAGAGACACAGUGCCUAAGGAGUCCAGUCUUCGUCUCAGCAAACAACAAAAGUCAAACAUAUAUAACAUGAAAAAGGCAAAAUGGCAAUACAAGAACAACAGAAUUAUGUCUUGAAACACAAUGCUGUAUCACUGCAAUUUAUGGAAUAUAUUUUUAAAUCAUUUUGAUAGCUUCAUUAAUUGUUUUGCAUGGGGUGACUAAUACAACAUGCAAAUAUAGUUUAUUAUAAUGUGGAACUAUGUAAUGUGUUUUGACCAAUAAGACUAGGGUACUGAAAAUUGUGUCAAAUGAUGACAAUUAUACAAAACCAUUUGCAAUGACAAAUGAUGUUCUGCUGUGUAGAAGUGACGUUGUGAUUAUGGGGAUUACACGCGUUGCUUUGCAAACGUUAAUUGCGAUUUGAGAAAUGCUCCAAAGCUAUUGAGAAAAACUGUGGAAAAUAAUCAACUGAAAUAUCCCAUUUGCAUAAGUAUUCAGACCCUUUACUUGGUACUUGGUUAAAGGACCUUUGGCAGCAGUGACAGCCUCAAGUCUUUUUGAGCAAAACCCUACAAGUCUGGCAUACCUUAUUUUUGGAAGUGUCUCCCAUUCAUCCUGACAGAAUCGUUCAAUCUCAACCAGGCUGAACUUGGAGUAUCGCUGCACAGCCAUUUUCAGGUUUCUCCAGCGAUGCUCUAUUGAGUUCAGAUCCGGACCCUGGCUGGGCCCCUCCGGAACUUUCACAAGGUUUUCAUUGAGGAAUGCUCUAUAUUUUUCCACAUCUAGUCUCCCAGUUGCUGUCACAGAAUAACAUCCCCACAGCAUGAUGCUGCCACCACAGUGUUUGACUGUACAGAUUAUAUCAGCGAGGUGGUGCUUAGUGCCUAGUUUCUGCCAAACAUUCCAUUGGGAACUGUGGCUAAACAGUUAAAUCUUUCAUUAAACCAGACGAUUUCGCUUC